rnacentral:rRNA from 1 species
AUUGCACGCUGGCGGCAGGCCUAACACAUGCAAGUCGAACGAGUGGCGGACGGGUGAGUAAUGUCUGGUAAACUGCCUGAUGGAGGGGGAUAACUCCUGGAAACGGUAGCUAAUACCGCAUACCUGAAGCUGUGCCCACAUGUGAUGAGCUAGUGGGUGGUGUAUAGGCUCACCAAGGCGACUAUCCCUAGCGGGUCUGAGAGGAUGACCAGCCACACUGGAACUGAGACACGGUCCAGACUCCUACGGGAGGCAGCAGUGGGGAAUAUUGCACAAUGGGCGCAAGCCUGAUGCAGCCAUGCCGCGGGUAUGAAGAAGGCCUUCGGGUUGUAAAGUACUUUCAGCGGGGAGGCGUUACCCGCAGAAGAAGCACCGGCUAACUCCGUGCCAGCAGCCGCGGUAAUAC